rnacentral:rRNA from 1 species
AACGAACGCUGGCGGCAUGCCUAACACAUGCAAGUCGAACGAGAUCUUCGGGUCUAGUGGCGCACGGGUGCGUAACGCGUGGGAAUCUGCCCUUUGGUUCGGAAUAACAGUUGGAAACGACUGCUAAUACCGGAUGAUGACGAAAGUCCAAAGAUUUAUCGCCAGAGGAUGAGCCCGCGUAGGAUUAGCUAGUUGGUGGGGUAAAGGCGCACCAAGGCGACGAUCCUUAGCUGGUCUGAGAGGAUGAUCAGCCACACUGGGACUGAGACACGGCCCAGACUCCUACGGGAGGCAGCAGUGGGGAAUAUUGGACAAUGGGCGAAGGCCUGAUCCAGCAAUGCCGCGUGAGUGAUGAAGUCCUUAGGGUUGUAAAGCUCUUUUACCCGGGAUGAUAAUGACAGUACCGGGAGAAUAAGCUCCGGCUAACUCCGUGCCAGCAGCCGCGGUAA